rnacentral:rRNA from 1 species
GUGGGGGAUAUUGCACAAUGGGCGAAAGCCUGAUGCAGCGACGCCGCGUGAGUGAAGAAGUAUUUCGGUAUGUAAAGCUCUAUCAGCAGGGAAGAAAGGCCCGCAAGGGAGAUGACGGUACCUGACUAAGAAGCCCCGGCUAACUACGUGCCAGCAGCCGCGGUAAUACGUAGGGGGCAAGCGUUAUCCGGAUUUACUGGGUGUAAAGGGAGCGCAGACGGUGAUGCAAGUCUGAAGUGAAACCCCACGGCUCAACCGUGGGCUUGCUUUGGAAACUGUAUGACUAGAGUACUGGAGAGGUAAGCGGAAUUCCUAGUGUAGCGGUGAAAUGCGUAGAUAUUAGGAGGAACAUCGGUGGCGAAGGCGGCUUACUGGACAGCAACUGACGUUGAGGCUCGAAGGCGUGGGGAGCAAACAGG